UGGUAGUCCAUGCCGUAAACGAUGAUUACUAGGUGUGGGGGGUCUGACCCCUUCCGUGCCGGAGUUAACACAAUAAGUAAUCCACCUGGGGAGUACGCCGCAAGGUUGAAACUCAAAGGAAUUGACGGGGGCCCGCACAAGCAGUGGAGUAUGUGGUUUAAUUCGAAGCAACGCGAAGAACCUUACCAGGUCUUGACAUCCAACUAACGAGGCAGAGAUGCAUUAGGUGCCCUUCGGGGAAAGUUGAGACAGGUGGUGCAUGGUUGUCGUCAGCUCGUGUCGUGAGAUGUUGGGUUAAGUCCCGCAACGAGCGCAACCCUUGUGAUUAGUUGCUACGCAAGAGCACUCUAAUCAGACUGCCGUUGACAAAACGGAGGAAGGUGGGGACGACGUCAAAUCAUCAUGCCCCUUAUGACCUGGGCUACACACGUACUACAAUGGUCGCUAACAGAGGGAAGCCAAGCCGCGAGGUGGAGCAAACCCCCAAAAGCGAUCUCAGUUCGGAUUGUAGGCUGCAACCCGCCUACAUGAAGUUGGAAUUGCUAGUAAUCGCGGAUCAGCAUGCCGCGGGUGAAUACGUUCCCGGGCCUUGUACACACCGCCCGUCACACCAUGGGAGCCGGUAAUACCCGAAGCCAAUAGUCAAAC
rnacentral:rRNA from 1 species